ACCACACUAAUUUUGAUUAGAAAAAGUGGAUUGUCUAUAGGAGUUUUUUGACUCAAUCCACCACAUUAAAUCUAGAAAUCAUAUAACAAGUGUUUUUACAUAAUCCAAGCAAUCACAAUACUACAUUUGGAUCAACACGUAGAUCCAUCAUUUUAGAUAACAUUACAAGGAAAUAAGAUAUCCUAACUAAGCCUAGAAAUCACUUUUUCCACCAAAAUUUACAGGGUAAAAAAACCUAGCCAUGUGAGGAUCUAAGCAAGCUAAUGCAACAAAGAUCUUCUUAGAUUGCAACACCAUCUUUUAUAGCUUCACUUGAAGCAACAAAAGUCUUCUAGCUACAAGUAUUUAGAUGGAAUAUGA
rnacentral:lncRNA from 1 species